UCCGGUUUGGCACCGGCAGUCUUCCUAGAGUCCCCGCCAUUACGCGCUGGCAACUAAAGAUGAGGGUUGCGCUCGUUGCGGGACUUAACCCAACAUCUCACGACACGAGCUGACGACAGCCAUGCAGCACCUCGACUCCACCCCCUUGCGGGGUACCGAUGUUUCCACCGGCGUUGAGAGGCCGUUCGAGCCCAGGUAAGGUUCUUCGCGUUGCGUCGAAUUGAACCACAUGCUCCACCGCUUGUGCGAGCCCCCGUCAAUUCCUUUGAGUUUCAGCCUUGCGACUGUACUCCCCAGGCGGCAUAUUUAACGCGUUAGCUCCGGCACGGACAGAAUGAACUGCCCACACCAAAUAUGCAUCGUUUGGGGCGUGGACUAC
rnacentral:misc_RNA from 1 species